AGCUCUUCAUCUUCCACGCCUCCAUCCCGACCGCUGAGGCUCCUGGGAAGUUGAAGAACCGAGACGAUAAGAAGCUGGUCAGCACGGACAAGGAGAAGCCUAUCAAGGAAUGCUGAUCUUUCAGCUGUCCAAGGACUGUGUGGCUCAGGGCUGCAGCGUGGACCUCUUCCUGUUCCCCAGCCAGUACCUGGACAUCGCCACCACGGGGGAUGUGCCCGCGCACACCGGGGGCGCCGUCUACAAGUACAGCAACUUCCAGGUGUCUGUGUUUGGGUGGGUUGGUGGGUCGGUUGUGUGUGCGUGUGUGUGUCUGUGUUUGUGUGUGUGGGGGUGUGAGUGUUAUAUUGCUUGUGUGUUUGUUGCUGUGUUGAUGGGUUGAGUGUGCGUGUGUGUGUGUGUCUGUGCGUGUGUGUGUGUGUGCGUUUAGAACACAUUACAAUCUAUUUAAACAUGGAUGUUUUUGUGGCCCGAAAUGGGAAAACAAUCUAUUAAUGAAACUGUGGAUACUUUCUAGUUAGGCUAUUGUCUCUGGCUACAGGCCAGGCAUGUGCACUUGAAGCAGACUUUAGAUCAGAUGUAAAAAAACAACGCUUAGCUUUGCUUUAUUAUUAUAUUUACUCAGUAGUUGGCCUCAAGUGAUAAAGAAAGUGUAGCAAUUAAUUAGGAUUCAAAAGACUGUUUGUCACACUUUUUUGUUCAAUUUACAAUUGAUUUGAAAAUAAAACCAACACACCCACAAACUCAAAAUAAAAAGUAUGAUAUCACGUUUGCUGUAUUGUCGCAGUAAUUUACACACAAUACAUGCAUACACACAAAUAUGCACAUAGAGAAUCCCAAUGCAUUGCACACAAAGCCAAAUGAAAAUGUGUACCUUUUUCAAUAUUACCAAUGGGAACAACACUAUAAAUUAGCUUCUUUCAAUGUUAUGAAUUUUGAGAGGCAGACGAAUUGUUGUAUGUUUUUGUAAACGCAUCUGAAAGGCCUUUGCCCCCACACCUUUUGUGAUUUCUUUUUUUGUAUUGGAGGAAAAUAAACAAUGUUUCCUCGG